rnacentral:rRNA from 1 species
CCUACGGGUGGCAGCAGUGAGGAAUAUUGGUCAAUGGGCGGAAGCCUGAACCAGCCAAGUAGCGUGCAGGAUGACGGCCCUACGGGUUGUAAACUGCUUUUAUACGGGAAUAACUCGCCUUACGUGUAGGGCUUUGCAUGUACCGCAUGAUUAAGGACCGGCCAAUUCCGUGCCAGCAGCCGCGGUAAUCCGGAGGGUCCGGGCGUUAACCGGUCUUAUUGGGUUUAAAGGGAGCGUAGGCCGCAUGUCAAGCGAGCUGUGAAAUGUCCGGGCUCAACCCGGGCAUUGCAGCGCGAACUGGCGGGCUUGAGUCCGGGGAAGGCAGGCGGAAUUCGUGGUGUAGCGGUGAAAUGCUUAGAUAUGACGAAGAACCCCGAUUGCGAAGGCAGCUUGCUGCAGCGGAACUGACGCUGAUGCUCGAAAGCGCGGGUAUCGAACAGGAUUAGAUACCCCUGUAGUC